AUUGAACGCUGGCGGCAUGCCUUACACAUGCAAGUCGAACGGUAACAGGUCUUCGGAUGCUGACGAGUGGCGAACGGGUGAGUAAUACAUCGGAACGUGCCCGAUCGUGGGGGAUAACGAAGCGAAAGCUUUGCUAAUACCGCAUAAGAUCUACGGAUGAAAGCAGGGGACCGCAAGGCCUUGCGCGAACGGAGCGGCCGAUGGCAGAUUAGGUAGUUGGUGGGAUAAAAGCUUACCAAGCCGACGAUCUGUAGCUGGUCUGAGAGGACGACCAGCCACACUGGGACUGAGACACGGCCCAGACUCCUACGGGAGGCAGCAGUGGGGGAUUUUGGACAAUGGGCGAAAGCCUGAUCCAGCCAUGCCGCGUGCAGGAUGAAGGCCUUCGGGUUGUAAACUGCUUUUGUACGGAACGAAAAGACUCUGGUUAAUACCUGGGGUCCAUGACGGUACCGUAAGAAUAAGCACCGGCUAACUACGUG
rnacentral:rRNA from 1 species